rnacentral:rRNA from 1 species
AACGAACGCUGGCGGCAGGCUUAACACAUGCAAGUCGAGCGAAGACUUCGGUCUUAGCGGCGGACGGGUGAGUAACGCGUGGGAACGUGCCCUUCAGUUCGGAAUAACCCAGGGAAACUUGGGCUAAGACCGGAUACGUGCGAGAGCAGAAAGAUUUAUCGCUGAAGGAUCGGCCCGCGUCUGAUUAGCUGGUUGGUGAGGUAAAGGCUCACCAAGGCGACGAUCAGUAGCUGGUCUGAGAGGAUGAUCAGCCACAUUGGGACUGAGACACGGCCCAAACUCCUACGGGAGGCAGCAGUGGGGAAUAUUGGACAAUGGGCGCAAGCCUGAUCCAGCCAUGCCGCGUGAGUGAUGAAGGCCUUAGGGUUGUAAAGCUCUUUCGUCCGGGACGAUAAUGACGGUACCGGAAGAAGAAGCCCCGGCUAACUUCGUGCCAGCAGCCGCAGUAACAC